GACGAACGCUGGCGGCGUGCUUAACACAUGCAAGUCGAACGGUAAGGCUCCAGCUUGCUGGGGUACACGAGUGGCGAACGGGUGAGUAACACGUGGGUGACCUGCCCUGCACUUCGGGAUAAGCCUGGGAAACUGGGUCUAAUACCGGAUAGGACCGCACCGUGAGGGUGUGGUGGAAAGUUUUUUCGGUGUGGGAUGGGCCCGCGGCCUAUCAGCUUGUUGGUGGGGUAAUGGCCUACCAAGGCGGCGACGGGUAGCCGGCCUGAGAGGGUGGACGGCCACAUUGGGACUGAGACACGGCCCAGACUCCUACGGGAGGCAGCAGUGGGGAAUAUUGCACAAUGGGCGGAAGCCUGAUGCAGCGACGCCGCGUGGGGGAUGACGGCCUUCGGGUUGUAAACUCCUUUCACCAUCGACGAAGGGUUUCUGACGGUAGAUGGAGAAGAAGCACCGGCUAACUACGUGCCAGCAGCCGCGGUAAUACGUANGGUGCGAGCGUUGUCCGGAAUUACUGGGCGUAAAGAGCUCGUAAGUGGUUUGUCGCGUCGUCUGUGAAUUCCGGGGCUUAACUCCGGGCGUGCAGGCGAUACGGGCAUAACUUGAGUACUGUAGGGGAGACUGGAAUUCCUGGUGUAGCGGUGAAAUGCGCAGAUAUCAGGAGGAACACCGGUGGCGAAGGCGGGUCUCUGGGCAGUAACCGACGCUGAGGAGCGAAAGCAUGGGGAGCGAACAGGAUUAGAUACCCUGGUAGUCCAUGCCGUAAACGGUGGGCGCUAGGUGUGGGUUUCCUUCCACGGGAUCCGUGCCGUAGCUAACGCAUUAAGCGCCCCGCCUGGGGAGUACGGCCGCAAGGCUAAAACUCAAAGGAAUUGACGGGGGCCCGCACAAGCGGCGGAGCAUGUGGAUUAAUUCGAUGCAACGCGAAGAACCUUACCUGGGCUUGACAUAUACAGGAUCGCGCCAGAGAUGGUGUUUCCCUUGUGGCUUGUAUACAGGUGGUGCAUGGUUGUCGUCAGCUCGUGUCGUGAGAUGUUGGGUUAAGUCCCGCAACGAGCGCAACCCUUGUCUUAUGUUGCCAGCACGUUGUGGUGGGGACUCGUAAGAAACUGCCGGGGUUAACUCGGAGGAAGGUGGGGAUGACGUCAAAUCAUCAUGCCCCUUAUGUCCAGGGCUUCACACAUGCUACAAUGGUCGGUACAGUGGGUUGCCAGUCCGUGAGGGCGAGCUAAUCCCGCAAAGCCGGUCUCAGUUCGGAUCGGGGUCUGCAACUCGACCCCGUGAAGUCGGAGUCGCUAGUAAUCGCAGAUCAGCAACGCUGCGGUGAAUACGUUCCCGGGCCU
rnacentral:rRNA from 1 species